rnacentral:rRNA from 1 species
CCUACGGGUGGCAGCAGUGGGGAAUAUUGCACAAUGGGCGCAGGCCUGAUGCAGCCAUGCCGCGUGUGUGAAGAAGGCCUUCGGGUUGUAAAGCACUUUCAGCGGGGAGGAAGGCGUUAAGGUUAAUAACCUUGGCGAUUGACGUUACCCGCAGAAGAAGCACCGGCUAACUCCGUGCCAGCAGCCGCGGUAAUACGGAGGGUGCAAGCGUUAAUCGGAAUUACUGGGCGUAAAGCGCACGCAGGCGGUCUGUCAAGUCGGAUGUGAAAUCCCCGGGCCCAACCUGGGAACUGCAUUCGAAACUGGCAGGCUAGAGUCUUGUAGAGGGGGGUAGAAUUCCAGGUGUAGCGGUGAAAUGCGUAGAGAUCUGGAGGAAUACCGGUGGCGAAGGCGGCCCCCUGGACAAAGACUGACGCUCAGGUGCGAAAGCGUGGGGAGCAAACAGGAUUAGAUACCCCGGUAGUC